GCAUCAAGUGGUUUCUAAGUUUAGAAACUCUAGCCACAUUAUGGUUGCUAAGAUGGUAGUGUGUAGUCCGGUUAUAUUUAUGUGGAUUAUAGAGUACGAAUGGUUGUAGAUUAGAGUUUCCGGUAUGUUAUGUUCUUUAGUGUUAUUAAAGGGAAAGCUUUGAGGCUGACCUUUCGCAAAGAUUUGGUUAAUGUUCUAAUGAGCCGAUACUAUGUUCAGGUGUUUCUGUGAUUGAAGGUAUGUGGAGGUGACAGUAUCACUACGGAGUUGGAGAUGCUAGUAUAAUACUUGCCAUCUAAAUUUAUCUUGGUGUAGCACUACCUGUGCAGGUAACCUACAACUUAUUGCCUGCUUAUUUCUGCUCCAUGGAACUUUUCAUGUUGUUCAGAAGUUGGUUUCCUUGUUGUAGAGUGCCAUUGUUGUUUUUGAACAUUCACUGGACAAUAAUUUAUAUUCGAUUUCCCAUGCUUUGGAGAUGUUUGCUUUUCAUUGAGAGAAAAGGUGCCAUUUUUGAAGGAUUUUGGAAAUGAGGUUGCAUGCAUUCUAGACAUGAAAAAGCAUCAAUGCAAAUAUAGAUUUUGAGUGACAAUUUUAUAUUCUAGGAUUGUAGGCUUGUUAUGUACAGAGAUUCCAGUAUGCAGUUAAACUGUGAUCAAUAUUAUCCACAACCAAACAUUACAUUCAGAUCUCUAUUUAAGCUGUACGUUAAUGAUGAAAUCUUCCGGUAUAUAAUUCUAGAAUUAUUUUCAGAAUUGAUUUUAAGAUUCAGGGAGGCUGGUGUUUCUUCUGCUGGAAACUGUCUGAAUCUUAGACCUUGAGUUUUAGAGAGUGGACAUAGAAAUGAAUGGUGCUGAUGUGUUACAUAAUUUAGUCAUAGACAAGAAACUGAUAUCUCUAGUCAACAGCAUUCAAGGAGGAGCUUGGGUUCUCUUUUGCACCUCAAUUUUUUGCAACUAAUUUAAAUUUGUACUUUAAUCUCAUCUGGCUGUCUAAAACAUUGAGAAUUAUAGUGAUUUGAAUCUUGAUGUUUUGUGUGUAGCUAGGCCUAUAAUCAGCUUAUCGUAUAUAUCCUCUGGUGCUAUAUAUAUAUAUAUAUCAUCGAUAUAUGCAAUUGUUGGUAACUGUUGGCUGCCUGAGAUCGGAAAGCAAAGUGUUGCAAUACCGGCUCAAAAAGCUGUCUUCUCCUGCUCUUGUGAAGCUAGCAUAAAGCCAUGCGGUACAGGCUGCAGAUUCUGGAAUGUUUCGACCCUGAUGCAUUGGCUGCUUAUAUGAAGUUGGAUGAGGCAGGUUUAGUUGCCCAGGCAACUAGUCCCGGGUACUCCAUUGGGUGCCUACUGUAACGAGGAGGUUGGUCCUUUUGCUGGUGAUCAAAUUCCUGCUGAGUGAUGAUGUUAAGACAGUUGAGCUCAAGCGAUCGAAUUAAUAUAUUGAAGCUGCUUGCCUGCUUAUGUUAGCAAGACUCUUAAGCAAGCUUACAUAUUCCGUGAGGAGGUCAACUACCCUUUCGGACAUUGGUAUCAAGGGAAGAAGGCUACGACAAACCCUUGAAGGCUACAACUAGUUGAGUACUAUAGAUGCUUGUAAAAGUUCCGUGAACCAAACGAGAUCUAAAUGUUACAUCGAAAUAAUAAACUCAAUAAAAAGUGGUAACCUCUGUGUAUCAGCAACCUUAAUUAGAUUAUCUUUGCGACUACAGAUAUCCAUAUCAGGAACAAAUUAUUGCGUAUAAACCUAGUGCUUUUGACUGUAUCAAACUAAUAUACAGAUAUCGAUGACAGAGGUUAUCAUCAAGUUGCCAACUGUUGUUCCAAAUUUCCAAUGAUCACAACUAUGCAUAUCUCAUUUUCAUUACACCCGGCUUUGAUUCAAUUAACAAAUUCCCAGACGUCAAAGUAUGAAUGAUUAACAUUUUCCAAUAA
rnacentral:lncRNA from 1 species